UCGUCGAUCGUCGGCUGGACCGUCGUGUCGUUUUACGUCACAGAGCACAACUAUGACUUUUCCUCAAUUAGAUAGCUGUUAUCUAUGUAUGUAUAUAAAUACUAUGCAGCAGACUAGGUCGCCAAGUUUCUUUGUAAAACGCUGAAAAUGAUAUCGAUGUAAUCGCAACAUUUGUUUGGCAAAACGAUGUCGCGCCAGACCAAUUAUAUAUCAAUUAUAAAUAUAAAUAUAACGAACGAUGGUAACCUCCGGUGAUUGGAGUUCAUCACAACAUUUCUCCGUGGAAAUAACGUAACGAGUCCCACACUGAUUGAGACUAUUUUCGUCAAAGUUGGCAUGACAGCGGAUGAAAAAAUUCAUAUAUAAAAAUACAUUGCAUACAAAAAUAAAUACAUAACAAUUAGGGUUCGGGGCUUAUAAUAUUAAUCCGUCGGAUCUAAUAACAAAUUCAUUCUUUUGCUUCCUGUUAGAUAUAUCUUGCAACUUAUUCUUCUAAACAUUCGCAGAUUAACCGAACAAGUCUUUUGCUAUGGUGUUUGGAUCGCUUAGUAAUUAAAAUACUAUUUUCCUAUGAUUUGAAGAAUUGUAUACGCAUAUAUCGUGUAUUUAUUACAAUAUUCUAUAAACCAUCGAUAUGGAUGGAAUAUUUUUCGAUUUUCCAUUUUCACAUCCAUACGAAGUUCAAAAUCGCAUAACAUCUUGAAGAUCGCAUCGCCAGCGAAUCUGUGGUUUCCGUUCGACGCGUAGGCAUUGUUUAACACCUCGCACAAGGCUGGUUCGACGACCCGGCGCUGCGUGUAUCCUCUUAUCAAAACAUCGGCGGAUAUUUUCGCGUUGCCGCAGUCUAGACUUUUGUUAAACAAACACGUCGACGCAACAACCGACUGCUAUCGAUAUUAAAAAAGAACCAUCCAUUCGAUCCGUACUGCUAUAAAAGCGACUAAUUUCCGAAGAAUUUCCCCUUCUCGUCGAUAUUUGUGUGAACCCAAGCAACUUUCUUUAUACGUGAAACGCAGUUCGAUAUCGUAAGGCAAGGGGUUAACUUAAAUUUUACUAUUCUUCAAACAUUUUACAAACGUUAUUUAUACGACUAAUAAAUAAAUAUAGGUUACACGUCCUAUGUUCACUAAUUCGAACGGAUAAAAAGAAAUCAUUGGGAAAUCCAUGUCGUAGUCGUGUUCCAGCAGUCACAACCUUUCCCCACGGUUCACUGCACCCGAUGUCGACUGUCAUCGAUUCUACCCACGCUUUCUACGACAGUUCCAUCGACAUUGUCUCCCAUCGAUCGUAGAUGCGAGCAUUCUCCCGUUCUCGAAGGACUCGCGCGUGUAAUUAGGAUACCCUGGUUGGAAUUACGCUCGGCCAAUUAACUAGUUAGGAAUAAAUUACCGCUUUUACCUGGCGCGCGAUUACGUAAGCGCAGCUAUUACCGCGCUAACUGCACCUCUCGGCCAGAUAUCAUUACCGCGGAUAGUUCUCUUUGCUUUGCGUCAUCGGUGCGAUUGUGCGAUUGAGAGACGCGCGUUACAACCUAUCCCUCCCUGUUUCUCCUCGCGAAAUUAUAAUAGACUAGUAAAAGAAAGAUGAUUUUCGUACAUCAGAAAGUAUUCGAUCGUGAAAGAUUCAAGCAAUGACAAUCACAUAUACAUCGAUAUUCGUAUUUCUAUCAAAUUAAGUUUUGAUACGAAAAAAUCUAUUUUACAGAUAGAGAUUGCACGAGAUAUUUUCCGCAAAAUGUAUUCUAGGAAUGAAAAUGCUUUAAAAAUAUACUUAACGAAAAUAUCAAAUCGCAAUGUAUAAUUCAUUCUUCGAUAUAAUACAAUAGUAUGAAUAUAAUACUAUAAUUAACAAUAUAAAAAUGGAACGAUAUGAAAUAUCGUUGGUGUUUUAAAGCUCGCGUAAAAUCACAAAGGGUGAAAAUGAAAAAAUCUUACUUUUUUAAAUAAAGAAUCAAAUAAAAUUUGAUCUUAGCGAUCGAUCUCAGUUUGCACAUGCGUGUUCGUUGAUCGAUGCCUACUAUUUCCCGACUAUAUUUAACUGCAACCACUAUUAUGCAUACAAUUACAUCACGGCACCGAUUAAAAUAGCAAAUUCGCGAAGUUCACGCUUACAGCUCGCGCUCGUGAUAAACGAGCUAUAUGACAAUCAGCUGCACCGUAACCGCCGUUGAUAACGCGUUAUCAAGUCCCGGAUGAUGUCUGCAAAUAUGUUUGCGUUCUUAAAUGCAGCCGAGGUUGCCAUGCCUGUUGUUGUUUAAUCUAUAUCUGUCCUUCCUGCAUUCGCCUCGUUUGCGCCCCCUUUUUCGCGUCGCUUCUCUGCUCGUCGUGUUUAAUCCACCCGCUUCGCGAAUUUUCCCGCUCGGCUCAUCUACGCUCAAUUUCGUUUGUUUUAGAUUCGGAUUCAGAGUUCGAGAUUUCCAACUAUUUUCUCUCUCAUCUCAACGCUACUCACUCUCAAACAAAUAUUCGAACGUUCUAACUUUGCCAAAAAAAUUCCUACGAAUUUGUCGCCUUUGCCACGUUGUUCCAUUAGCUGCAGUCCAUUAGCUAAACGCCUAUAUUGUAACAGAUUCGCGUAUAUUUAGCUACGACAGGUCCUAAAAUGUUCGAGGUUGUUACAGCGAGCCCGAUCCGAGCUCGAACGCUCGAAUGUGGCUCCACCCACGCAUCGUGGAUCUGCUAUCGGUCGAAAUAGAAUCGUAAGUGUUCUUGGUUCGCUGAUUUCAACAAGUUGUACGUUCGAUAGAUCCGAGGAGAGGAUCUCGAGGCAUCUGUCGGCUCAUCUAACGUAACGGCUUGGUGAGUAACGCACGAUAAAUUGAUGCGUAAUUCUUGUAGACCGAUUUCCUCGUAGAGUGAAUAAAAUGGCCGAUCCACGAAUUACAUACGAAUUACUCGCCUUCGUUAUAAUCGUUCGCUCGAUUGUUCCGCGUGAUUACAUCAUAUCAUGCGAAUCGCUGUGCAAUAGAGAAACGAAAUUGGAAACUGUGUCAUCGAUGUAAUAUAUUAUAAUACUAUAAGUACGUGUAUAUCUUCAACCGGAAACGUAUAUCGAUAUCGUUUAAUAUAACAAGAUACCAUCAAAUGUUAUCCAACAUUAUCUAACUAGAAAUAUAAAUAAUUAAUAUAUAUAAGUAAUUGAAAUACCGAAUGUACAUACAUUAAAUGACUAAAUUU